CUGUUCUCUUGUUUAUCAGAUGGUUGCUUCAGGAAGUGGUCAUCAAACUUUAUUUCAUCUCUUGGUGUAAAUGUUGAAACAUUCCAGAAACUGGAACAACAUCACAUCAGUCUCUUUCCCUGCUCUUUGGUUACCAGUUGUUCUUCACACAUCUACAGGAAGGUCUGAGACUGCCUGUUGGCUUCUCUCAGAGGAAUGUUCUGAAUGGAGCUUGCUGUCAACACAGCUUUCAAGACAAAGAAGGUGUUGCUCUUGAUGACAGCAAUGGGGUCCCAAGGGAAGAAGCAAUGUUCCUAGACAUACUGGAGGACUGUUUCCUUACAAGACUCCCUUUCAAUAUGAACCUACAGAACUUUGACUGAUGUGAAAUAACUUACUCUCUGCCUAAAGUCACCUUGCCACCUGGAAUCACAAUGUGGUCAAGGAGA